UACGUAGGGAGCAAGCGUUAUCCGGAAUUAUUGGGCGUAAAGAGCUCGUAGGCGGUUUGUCGCGUCUGCUGUGAAAACUGGGGGCUCAACCCCCAGCCUGCAGUGGGUACGGGCAGACUAGAGUGCGGUAGGGGAGAUUGGAAUUCCUGGUGUAGCGGUGGAAUGCGCAGAUAUCAGGAGGAACACCGAUGGCGAAGGCAGAUCUCUGGGCCGUAACUGACGCUGAGGAGCGAAAGCAUGGGGAGCGAACAGG
rnacentral:rRNA from 1 species